AGACACAGCAAGACACGCCCCAUCAUGUAAUCUACGGUACUUCUACACACAGGUAUAACACAGCGAUGCAGGUCACAUGACCUGCGGAUCUAUCGUCUUGAUCCAAUUGGUCUUUUAUUGUCCAGUCUGAAC